UUAAAGCAUGUUCUGUUUUGAUCCUCUGCAGUUAGUGUGUGGUUCUGGCCUGCUCUGAAUACAUAGGCAGACUUAACACCUGGCCUUUUCUUUCCCCUCCCAUUGCUGAGGAGAAGAGAGGAUGGACUUGACUCCAAUACUCAGAUCUUCCACCAACCUCAACAAGAAGCUGAACAUCAGAGAAGGCAGCUUUAGGACUGAACAUCACAGAAAGAGUGCCUGUUCUCUUCCCAAAGAAGGAGCGUGGAGCUGGGAUACAACGGUGACUCUCUCCUGCACUUCAUGCUGGCCAGUCUAUGUGGAGGUAUCGGUUUCAAUGCUUCAGGGAAAGACUCCCAGCUGCUUGAGAGACCACUAUGUGAUGACAAGGAAGGAAUGGAGGAAUAACUUCAGAGCAACAAGUGACUGAGGCCUGGGGAAUUAGCCACUACAGCAUGCCAUAAGAUUUUUUUUAAUGCUACCCGGGGACACUAAAAGAAUUUGUUUCAUGAAGUAAAUUGUUCAAAUGAGACUUUCUUUUCAUCUCAGAAAGUGAAUCUCUGUAUAAUCCCUAUUUUAGACAAUUUCCCAGACUACAGGAAAUGCUGCCUGCAUUGGGAUUCCUGUGUGCCCAACUCAUGGGACAACAUGAAGCCUGCCCAUCCCAUGCAGACAGCAGAACAGCCCCUCACAUACAGGGAAGGUCCUGAUGUCCAUCAGACUGCCCACAGAUGCUGGACGGCUGUAUCCUGAGCUCUUCUAAUCUGGCUUUCCUGCACGAGCUACAGCAUGCCACAGAAAGAAAGCGACUGUGACGAUUUUCUUAAUUAGUGGGGGCCAACCUCUCUGGCAGGCGUGCCAUGAAUUAACCCCAUACCCUUUCCCCAAUCCUGCUCUGAUCGGCUGCUUUCUGCUCUCUGCCUGAUCCGCUGCUCUGUUUUUGGCUCCCUCCUCAAUUAGCCACAUGUGGCACACAGAGGCUGCCUGUACUACCUGUGGCAUACAUGCAGUGGGUUGGCCAUCCCAAUCUACAGGAUUCUUGGAAGGCAUUGCCUUUUCACCACCAGUGAAAGCCAGUGAUCUGCGCUUGUAAUGUUGCAACAUUGAUUGUCAGCUACUCUGUCUAAGGCACAUAUAGCACCAGGCCACUAUUAGCAGUUAACAAAAUAAAUCCAAAUGUCAUCCAAUGACAGUCCAGGAACUUACCCCUCUCUGAUCAAAUUGCCAAGAAAGGGUGUACGUGCAAAGGGAUUUCAGGUAAAGCAAAUGUUUCUGGAGAAUGAAGUCCUUUCUCCAUGGAACUGAUACAGCACAGGCAGCAGCCCUGCCAGCAUGCUUCAGCCCUGGCCUCGGGGAUGAGUUUUCUGGGAAAGAUAAUGCAUUGAUUUGCUGUCUGUGCUCACUUGAUCCUUGGGCUCCCAGCUGAGUCCAGGUCUGGAAUAAUUUAUGGAGACAGGGCCAAGCUCGUGGGUUCAAGGCUUUUCAUGAGAUGCCCAGUUCCCCAAGAGCAGGGCCUCCCUUUGCUGUUGCGUGGCUCAUGUCUGAGGUCAGCCUGGACUGAACCUGAAUCCGAGGUGGGAACUUAGUGCCACUUGCCAUUGCUGUGCUUGUGAUGGGCCACUGAGAACAGGGCUGAGACAAAACCAUGCAUUCCACACCGUUUGCUAAACAGCCAUAGAACAGCACCGGUUUGGGGAAAACAAAAAACUGUAUCAAGUGUCUAGUUCACAUGUACAAACACCUUUGGUUUUCAAGUCAAGACCUGUUGCUAGCCACGGGCAUACACUGCAUCUAGGACAAUGGGAUUUCUAUCAUGUAUCAAACCUCAUGCUACCAAAAUACAACAACUAUAUAAUCUAGAGGUAACCUGGUAACUCUACGCUAAAACACAGCCCUAUUGCAAGCCAGCUCUUGCUCCACUGAGAUCAACUGGUCCAUGUUGCAUUUAUUUUAUACCUGGUAGGAAUGGACCCUGUGUUCACAAGAGUGGAUAAUAAGGAAGGAUUAGCUUCCCAGUCUGGAAUGGGCAAAUGCCCAAAGUAAAAUCAUCCUUAAGAAGCUUUUCCUGUAGUAAGUAGAAAACUUCAGAGAGAUUCUUUAGAAAGAAUGUCCUAAAUAAUGUACUAUGGACUGUACGUCCAGUCCUGUAGCACUAACUUGUGAGCAAAUUUAAGGAAGACCAAGAAGAAUUGAAGAUGCAAGAAGGAGCCCUUGAGGGCCUCAUCUUGAGAACUUGUAUCACCUAUUGAAAACAGUGGGACUGCUCAUCUAAGCAGAGGUGGCAAGAUCAGGAUGUCAGCCUGCUGGAAAACAUGGAUGCUCAAGACUUCUGUGUCAAGACUCCAGUGUGGCAGGGAAUGCUCUGGGACUCUGUGCACUUUUCUUUUCAUUGACACCUCUGGAAGGUUAUUGGCUGUUCUUGGGAAGAUGCAGAUGCUGGGGUGCUAUUUGGGGAUCCUAUAGUGCGAGUAGGUCACAACUUUCCAUUGCAUGAUGCGUUUGGGACAGACAGAAUAGCCCAGUGCCCUCUGCAGCCCCCAGCUCCAGCUCUUUCCUCUCCCCUCUCUUGGGACCCAUCUACUCAGCACCUUUUGCCAGGUUGGGUGCUCAUGUUACACUGCCUUGGGUCUCACCUCUACACGGGACCACAGAGUGUCCUAAACAAGGUAACAGUUCUAGUCUUUAGUCACUAUGCUACCUUAAAGCCUUUACAGGCACGUCUCUACCUGCUAGUGUGCCGAGAGGAUACAUUCAUUGAUUUGUGAGGCGAUCAGAUGAGAUGGUGCAAAGUACUUCACUCUGUGGUGCAAAGUACUUCACUCCAUACCCCGCCCCCCCAUCCUCCCCGACCCUGCCCCUCAUGCAGAAGUGAACCGGUGAUUUGUGUUCUAAAGGUUACUUGGUAUUUUGGAUAAACUGUCCCAUUACAGAACAGAACAUCUGGCUUAUUCAAACCGGGUGAGCAGGGAUUUAACUGCUGCUUCACCUUACUCUUAAACAAGACCAUGCUGAAUGAUUAAGAGCAAAGCAGAGGAUUUUGGAGUUUUAGGCAUGUGAGCUGGGAGCUUGGGGAGGAGAUUUCAGGCACCAGCAGAGCUCUCAACUUUGGCAAACUGUUUUCUACAACUUUUUUUUUGUGCAAAUCUCCCUUUGGCAGAGCACAUCCAGCAUCAACUCGCAGCGGCUGCCUGCACACGAGCGAGUGGUGUUUGUAGAGUCCUCUUGCUUUCUGUGCUCAUUGCCCAAGUCCAGCUCUGGAAUAAUUUAUGGAGAACGGGUCAAGCUCGUGGGUUCAAGGCUUUGCAUGAUGCCCAGUUCCCCAAGAGCAGGGCUUUCCUUUGCCGCUUGCAAGCUCUGAGCCUAGCAACCUCAGGGAGAAAGUUCUGCCUGGAUCUCCUGCCUCUAACCAUCCUGGGGCAGGCAGGGAGCAGCAAAGAAAGCCAGGGCUGUUCCCUGGGCUUUUCAGUGUCCAUUCUCCAUCCUGCUCUCACUCCCCUUGUCUUCUCUAAAGACAAGGCAAAGUUUGAGCUCUGUGCCUGGCUCUGCCCUCCCCUCGCUUCCUUCAAUAUUUGUACUGUAAUAAUAACCCAAGCAGUGAGCGCAGGGGACCCUUUAACCAAUACGUGCGGGUUUCAGCGCUUGUUUAACACACACACACACACACACACACACAC